rnacentral:rRNA from 1 species
AGUCGAACGAUGAAGCCCAGCUUGCUGGGUGGAUUAGUGGCGAACGGGUGAGUAACACGUGAGUAACCUGCCCUUAACUCUGGGAUAAGCCUGGGAAACUGGGUCUAAUACCGGAUAGGAGCGUCCACCGCAUGGUGGGUGUUGGAAAGAUUUAUCGGUUUUGGAUGGACUCGCGGCCUAUCAGCUUGUUGGUGAGGUAAUGGCUCACCAAGGCGACGACGGGUAGCCGGCCUGAGAGGGUGACCGGCCACACUGGGACUGAGACACGGCCCAGACUCCUACGGGAGGCAGCAGUGGGGAAUAUUGCACAAUGGGCGCAAGCCUGAUGCAGCGACGCCGCGUGAGGGAUGACGGCCUUCGGGUUGUAAACCUCUUUCAGUAGGGAAGAAGCGAAAGUGACGGUACCUGCAGAAGAAGCACCGGCUAACUACGUGCCAGCAGCCGCGGUAAUACGUAGGGUGCGAGCGUUAUCCGGAAUUAUUGGGCGUAAAGAGCUCGUAGGCGGUUUGUCGCGUCUGUCGUGAAAGUCCGGGGCUUAACCCCGGAUCUGCGGUGGGUACGGGCAGACUAGAGUGCAGUAGGGGAGACUGGAAUUCCUGGUGUAGCGGUGGAAUGCGCAGAUAUCAGGAGGAACACCGAUGGCGAAGGCAGGUCUCUGGGCUGUAACUGACGCUGAGGAGCGAAAGCAUGGGGAGCGAACAGGAUUAGAUACCCUGGUAGUCCAUGCCGUAAACGUUGGGCACUAGGUGUGGGGACCAUUCCACGGUUUCCGCGCCGCAGCUAACGCAUUAAGUGCCCCGCCUGGGGAGUACGGCCGCAAGGCUAAAACUCAAAGGAAUUGACGGGGGCCCGCACAAGCGGCGGAGCAUGCGGAUUAAUUCGAUGCAACGCGAAGAACCUUACCAAGGCUUGACAUGUUCUCGAUCGCCGUAGAGAUACGGUUUCCCCUUUGGGGCGGGUUCACAGGUGGUGCAUGGUUGUCGUCAGCUCGUGUCGUGAGAUGUUGGGUUAAGUCCCGCAACGGGCGGCAACCCUCGUUCCAUGUUGCCAGCACGUCGUGGUGGGGACUCAUGGGAGACUGCCGGGGUCAACUCGGAGGAAGGUGAGGACGACGUCAAAUCAUCAUGCCCCUUAUGUCUUGGGCUUCACGCAUGCUACAAUGGCCGGUACAAUGGGUUGCGAUACUGUGAGGUGGAGCUAAUCCCAAAAAGCCGGUCUCAGUUCGGAUUGGGGUCUGCAACUCGACCCCAUGAAGUCGGAGUCGCUAGUAAUCGCAGAUCAGCAACGCUGCGGUGAAUACGUUCCCGGGCCUUGUACACACCGCCCGUCAAGUCACGAAAGUUGGUAACACCCGAAGCCGGUGGCCUAACCCUUGUGGGGGGAGCCGUCGAAGG